GCGUCGACGAGCUUGUGGCCGUCCUUCCAGACGACGGCGGUGACGGAGGAGGUGAAGACGACCCUCUCCAUGGUGUCCGUCUGCGCGCACGCCUCCAGCACGUUCUGCGCCGCCCGGACCUCCACCUCAACCAUAACCUCCUCUAGCCGGUCAAGCAUCCGUUGGGGGGCAAUUAAUGUGGCACGCAGAGUGGAAAGGGCUGGAGCGGCUAGCAAAGCUUCUGCCACAACUUGGGAGCAGAGUUUAAUGCAGUGGGCAGCAAGCAAGGAGGAGCAGCUGCCGAGACUGAGAGGUGAGCUGUGCCAUUAAAGGUCACUAACAGCUCACUCACAGAAAGGAGGGGAGAGGAACAGAUGCUCAUCCACUACUAGCUGUACCCGUACUGCUGCUGCUCCAGUAGCACGGCACCAGCAACGGUCAGUAUUUUUCCCCACCUUUUUAUCUCCCAACCCGAUGCACGGUAAUUCUUGCAACGUGGGGGGUGGGAUAUGGUUGGAUCCGUCAGAGGAUUGGGGGAGAGAUUCCGAUGCAAGGAACUUGACGCA